GCCAUCCAGCUUCACACGUCAAUCACAAGUGAAAUUCUUAUAUUUGUCAGGAAACAUGCUAAGUGGACCAGUGCCUGAUUGGUUAAUAAGAAGUGGAAACAAUGUAGACCUUUCUUACAACAACUUCAGCAUCAGCAACUUGAAGCCUUCACU